rnacentral:rRNA from 1 species
UACGGGGGGGAGCAAGCGUUGUUCGGAUUUACUGGGCGUAAAGGGCGCGUAGGCGGUCAGCACAAGUCAGUUGUGAAAUCUCCGGGCUUAACUCGGAAAGGUCAACUGAUACUGUGCGACUAGAGUGCGGAAGGGGCAACUGGAAUUCUUGGUGUAGCGGUGAAAUGCGUAGAUAUCAAGAGGAACACCUGCGGCGAAGGCGGGUUGCUGGGCCGACACUGACGCUGAUGCGCGAAAGCCAGGGGAGCGAACGGG